AAGCUUGCUGCUUGGCUGACGAGUGGCGGACGGGUGAGUAAUGUCUGGGAAACUGCCUGAUGGAGGGGGAUAACUACUGGAAACGGUAGCUAAUACCGCAUAACGUCGCAAGACCAAAGAGGGGGACCUUCGGGCCUCUUGCCAUCGGAUGUGCCCAGAUGGGAUUAGCUAGUAGGUGGGGUAACGGCUCACCUAGGCGACGAUCCCUAGCUGGUCUGAGAGGAUGACCAGCCACACUGGAACUGAGACACGGUCCAGACUCCUACGGGAGGCAGCAGUGGGGAAUAUUGCACAAUGGGCGCAAGCCUGAUGCAGCCAUGCCGCGUGUAUGAAGAAGGCCUUCGGGUUGUAAAGUACUUUCAGCGGGGAGGAAGGGAGUAAAGUUAAUACCUUUGCUCAUUGACGUUACCCGCAGAAGAAGCACCGGCUAACUCCGUGCCAGCAGCCGCGGUAAUACGGAGGGUGCAAGCGUUAAUCGGAAUUACUGGGCGUAAAGCGCACGCAGGCGGUUUGUUAAGUCAGAUGUGAAAUCCCCGGGCUCAACCUGGGAACUGCAUCUGAUACUGGCAAGCUUGAGUCUCGUAGAGGGGGGGUAGAAUUCCAGGUGUAGCGGUGAAAUGCGUAGAGAUCUGGAGGAA
rnacentral:rRNA from 1 species